CGGAGCGUAGCGCAGCCCGGUAGCGCACUUGACGUGGGGGUCGAAGGGGUCGUGGGUUCGAAUCCCGCCGCUCCGACCA
rnacentral:tRNA from 1 species